rnacentral:pre_miRNA from 1 species
UCUUACAGAUGAGCAAAGAAAAUGCUUUCUUGAAAUGGAAUCUAUCCCUGUUGAAGAUACUGUGAA